GAUGAACGCUGGCGGCAGGCUUAACACAUGCAAGUCGAACGAGAUCUUCGGAUCUAGUGGCAGACGGGUGAGGAACACGUGGGAACAUCCCUUUCAGUUCGGAAUAACGUUGGGAAACUAACGCUAAUACCGGAUACGUCCUUCGGGAGAAAGAUUUAUCGCUGAAAGAUUGGCCCGCGUCUGAUUAGCUAGUUGGUGAGGUAACGGCUCACCAAGGCUACGAUCAGUAGCUGAUCUGAAAGGAUGAUCAGCCACAUUGGGACUGAGACACGGCCCAAACUCCUACGGGAGGCAGCAGUGGGGAAUAUUGGACAAUGGGCGCAAGCCUGAUCCAGCCAUGCCGCGUGAGUGAUGACGGCCUUCGGGUUGUAAAGCUCUAUUAUCCGGGAAGAUAAUGACUGUACCGGAAGAAUAAGCCCCGGCAAACUUCGUGCCAGCCGCCGCGGUAA
rnacentral:rRNA from 1 species